rnacentral:rRNA from 1 species
GUGGUCAAGUUGUCAAGGGCGGACGGUGGAUGCCUUGGCACCAGGAGCCGAUGAAGGACGUGGGAGGCCGCGAUAGGCCUGGGGGAGCUGUCAACCGAGCUGUGAUCCCAGGGUGUCCGAAUGGGGUAACCUGGCACCAGUCAUGUGGUGUCACCUGCACCUGAAUUCAUAGGGUGUGUGGAGGGAACGCGGGGAAGUGAAACAUCUCAGUACCCGUAGGAAGAGAAAACAAUAGUGAUUCCGUGAGUAGUGGCGAGCGAAAGCGGAUUGAGGCUAACCGGUUGCGUGUGAUACCCUGUCAGGGGUUGCGUGGUCGGGGUUGUGGGACCUCAUGACACGAGCUGACACUCGUGUGGGGAGUGAUAAAGCCAGGUGUUAGCUGAAUGGUGUGGAAAAGCCAAACCGUAGGCGGUGAUAGUCCGGUAGGUGAAAGCAUCUGGUCUUCCUUGUGGGUGUUCCGAGUAGCGGCGGGACUCCUGAAAUCUGCCGUGAAUCUGCCAGGACCACCUGGUAAGCCUAAAUACUUCCUGGUGACCGAUAGCGGACGAGUACCGUGAGGGAAUGGUGAAAAGUACCCCGGGAGGGGAGUGAAAAUAGUACCUGAAACCGUUCGCCUACAAUUCCGUCGGAGCCUCUUUUUGGUGGGUGACGGCGUGCCUUUUGAAGAAUGAGCCUUGCGAGUAGUGGCAUGUGGCGAGGUUAACCUGUGUGGGGUAGCCGUAGCGAAAGCGAGUCUGAAAUAGGGCGUGUAGUCGCGUGUUCUAGACCCGAAGCGGGGUGAUCUAGCCAUGGGCAGGCUGAAGCGUGGGUAAGACCGCGUGGAGGCCGAACCCACAACGUUGAAAAAGUUGGGGGAUGACCUGUGGUUAGGGGUGAAAGGCCAAUCAAACUCCGUGAUAGCUGGUUCUCCCGAAAUGCAGUUAGGGUGCAGCGUCGUGUGUUUCUUGCCGGAGGUAGAGCACUGGAUGGUCUAGGGCCCUACAAGGUUACUUGAAAUCAGCUAAACUCCGAAUGCCGGUAAGUGAGAGCGCGGCAGUGAGACUGCGGGGGAUAAGCUUCGUAGUCGAGAGGGAAACAGCCCAGAUCGCCAGCUAAGGCCCCUAAGCGUGUGCUAAGUGGGAAAGGAUGUGGGGUCGCAUAGACAACCAGGAGGUUGCUUAGAAGCAGCCAUCCUUUAAAGAGUGCGUAAUAGCUUCACUGGUCAAGUGGUUCCGCGCCGACAAUGUAGCGGGGCUCAAGUACACCGCCGAAGCUGUGGCAUUCACACAUUGACUUCGCGAUGGUCUUUGGAUUGUCGUGCAGGUGUGUGGGUGGGUAGGGGAGCGUCGUGCCGGGGGUGAAGCAGCCGAGUGAUCGAGUUGUGGACGCGGCACGAGUGAGAAUGCAGGCAUGAGUAGCGAAAGAAGGGUGAGAAACCCUUCCGCCGGAUGACCAAGGGUUCCAGGGCCAGGUUAAUCCGCCCUGGGUGAGUCGGGGCCUAAGGCGAGGCCGAGAGGCGUAGUCGAUGGAUAACGGGUUGAUAUUCCCGUACCCGUGUAGGAGCGCCCGUGAUGAACCUCGUUGUGCUAACCACCCGAACCUGCCAAGACCUUCGGGUUGAGGUGGGGGAGCGUGGGAACCUGGCGGGUAGUAGUCAAGCGAUGGGGUGACGCAGGAAGGUAGCUGAGCCCGGCCGGUGGUUGUGCCGGGGUAAGCGUGUAGCCCGUGCCAUAGGUAAAUCCGUGGUGCGUGUGGGUGAGCACGUGAUGCCGAAGCCGAUUCAGGUGAAGUCAGUGAUCCCUAUGCUGCGCGAGAAAAGCCUCUAGGCGAGUUCCGAGCGGCCCGUUACCCUAAACCGACACAGGUGGUCAGGUAGAGAAUACCGAGGCGAUCGGGUUGAACUGUGGUUAAGGAACUCGGCAAAUUGCCCCCGUAACUUAGGGAGAAGGGGGGCCGGACACGUGAAGCAACACGCUUGUGGAGCGUGGUAUGGCCGCAGAGAGCAGGGGGAAGCGACUGUUUACUAAAAACACAGGUCCAUGCGAAGAAGUAAUUCGAUGUAUAUGGACUGACGCCUGCCCGGUGCUGGAACGUUAAGGGGACCGGUUAGCUCCUUUCGGGGGGCGAAGCUGAGAACUUAAGCGCCAGUAAACGGCGGUGGUAACUAUAACCAUCCUAAGGUAGCGAAAUUCCUUGUCGGGUAAGUUCCGACCUGCACGAAUGGCGUAACGACUUCCCCACUGUCUCAACCACAGGCCCGGCGAAAUUGCAGUACGAGUAAAGAUGCUCGUUACGCGCGGCAGGACGGAAAGACCCCGGGACCUUUACUAUAGCUUGACAUUGGUGCUUGAAUUAGCUUGUGUAGGAUAGGUGGGAGCCGGUGAAGCCUAUACGCCAGUAUGGGUGGAGGCAAUCUUGAAAUACCACUCUGGUUGGUUCGGGUAUCUAACUUCGGGCCUUAUCGGGUUCAGGGACAGUGUCUGGUGGGUAGUUUAACUGGGGCGGUUGCCUCCUAAAAUGGUAACGGAGGCGCCCAAAGGUUCCCUCAGCCUGGUUGGCAAUCAGGUGUUGAGUGUAAGUGUAUAAGGGAGCUUGACUGUGAGACUGACGGGUCGAGCAGGGACGAAAGUCGGGACUAGUGAUCCGGCACUUGCGUGUGGAAGCGGUGUCGCUCAACGGAUAAAAGGUACCCCGGGGAUAACAGGCUGAUCUUCCCCAAGAGUCCAUAUCGAC